rnacentral:rRNA from 1 species
CAGGCGAGAAAACUUUGCAAUGUGCGAAAGCACGACAAGGUUAAUCCGAGUGAUUUCUGCUAAAGAAAUCUUUUGCCAGUCAUAAAACCACUAGUGAAUAAGGGGUGGGCAAGUUCUGGUGUCAGCCGCCGCGGUAAAACCAGCACCUCAAGUGGUCAGGAGGAUUAUUGGGCCUAAAGCAUCCGUAGCCGGCUCUGUAAGUUUUCGGUUAAAUCCAUGUGCUCAACGCAUGGGCUGUCGAAAAUACUGCAUAGCUAGGGAGUGGGAGAGGUAGACGGUACUCGGUAGGAAGGGGUAAAAUCCUUUGAUCUAUCGAUGACCACCUGUGGCGAAGGCGGUCUACCAGAACACGUUCGACGGUGAGGGAUGAAAGCUGGGGGAGCAAACCGGAUUAGAUACCCGGGUAGUCCCAGCUGUAAACGAUGCAGACUCGAUGAUGCAUUGGCAUAUAGCCAGUGCAGUGUCGCAGGGAAGCCGUUAAGUCUGCCGCCUGGGAAGUACGUACGCAAGUAUGAAACUUAAAGGAAUAGGCGGGGGAGCACCACAAGGGGUGAAGCC